GAUGAACGCUAGCGGGAGGCCUAACACAUGCAAGCCGAGCGGUAGAGAUUCUUCGGAAUCUUGAGAGCGGCGCACGGGUGCGGAACACGUGUGCAACCUGCCUUUAUCUGGGGGAUAGCCUUUCGAAAGGAAGAUUAAUACCCCAUAAUAUAUUGAGUGGCAUCACUUGAUAUUGAAAACUCCGGUGGAUAGAGAUGGGCACGCGCAAGAUUAGAUAGUUGGUGAGGUAACGGCUCACCAAGUCAAUGAUCUUUAGGGGGCCUGAGAGGGUGAUCCCCCGCACUGGUACUGGGACACGGACCAGACUCCUACGGGAGGCAGCAGUGAGGAAUAUUGGACAAUGGGUGAGAGCCUGAUCCAGCCAUCCCGCGUGAAGGACGACUGCCCUAUGGGUUGUAAACUUCUUUUAUACUGGGAUAAACCUACCCUCGUGAGGGUAGCUGAAGGUACAGUAUGAAUAAGCACCGGCUAACUCCGUGCCAGCAGCCGCCGUAAUAC
rnacentral:rRNA from 1 species